CCACCAUUUUUGUUUUCCCUAAAGCUUGAUUUUCCAAGCUUUCUCCUCACCAAAACCCAUAGACCCCUUCAUUAAAAAGUUAGCCCACUCCAUAAGGAAGCCAUUGAUAGUGAAAAGAAGAAGAAAAGUUGAAGUUUAACAAGUUACCCAAGAGGUACUGGAGAUCAGCAGCCAUCACAGCAGCAGCCGCCACAGUAGUGUUCGGACAGAGUUUCGACCAGAUCUGCCACUGUCCAGAGUCACCUCACAGGUCUUUUGUAUUUUGAUAGGGCCCAUGUAUAGACUAGUAUUUUGGUUCAUUAUGUUUAGUCAUGAUGUAAUUACUAGUUUAUGAUGUAUUUCAUUUUGGACUUGAAAUUAAAACUUAUAAUUUAUUAUCUAUGAAUUUCCAUAUGAAUGCAAUAGAUGACACUUCAUUUUGAGAUCUCAUAAA